AGUUUUGAUUGCGCUGCACCCAGGCCAUUACCUUUGGGUGUGCGCUUGGUGUGCAGCAAUCAUUCUUCCGGAAAGCUAUUCUCUCCUUCACUGGGUGGAUGUGUGAACCGGUUCUUUUACUGUGAGACAAUCAGAGUGUUUCAAGCAGGCAUUAUGCCUGAAUGUUUCAGCAUGGAAUAAUAAGAUAAGAUUUUGGUUUUUUCUUGUUGGCUAUGUAAAUCAAAGUAAUGACUAAUAGAGAUAAUUGGGGGUGUUAGAAUUUAGUGGUCAGCGGUGAAAUGCGUAGACCCAUUAAAGACUAACUUAUGCGAAAGCAUU
rnacentral:rRNA from 1 species